UACGUAGGGGGCGAGCGUUGUCCGGAUUUAUUGGGCGUAAAGAGCGUGUAGGCGGCCAGGUAGGUCUGAUGUGAAAGCCCCCGGCUCAACCGGGGAGGGUCAUUGGAAACUGGGGAACUUGAGUACAGAAGAGGAAAGUGGAAUUCCACGUGUAGCGGUGAAAUGCGUAGAGAUGUGGAGGAACACCAGUGGCGAAGGCGACUUUCUGGUCUGUAACUGACACUGAGGCGCGAAAGCGUGGGGAGCAAACAGG
rnacentral:rRNA from 1 species